GGCGCCUUGGCCGAGCGGUUAGGCAGGGGACUGCAAAUCCCCGUACAGCGGUUCGACUCCGCUAGGCGCCUCCA
rnacentral:tRNA from 1 species